AUGUAUCGUUGUAGGUACUCUAUCGAUUUUUGGAUUUCUUCAGCAAAUUUGACUGGAGUAAGUAUUGUCUCAGCUUGCGAGGUCCAGUGCCUAUAAGUUCACUCCCUAAUAUGAAAGCUGAACCACCACGUAAGGAUUGCCAAAGGUUGUUGCUGAACCACCAAUUUCUUAAUGCUUGUGAAUCCAUGUACGGCAUUCUGUGUAGCAGCAAAGAAUUAAAAGAGAAACCAUUUGUUUCUAAAUACAUUAGUAUUGUAGAUCCUUUGCUUCCUAACAACAACAUAGGA
rnacentral:sRNA from 1 species